AUGUGCCUGCUCUCCCCAUGGUGGUCCCCUCGGAGAAACAGCUGGGUAUGGGCCUCAGAGAGCUGUGUGCAGAUUCCUGCCCUGCCUCUUGGAGCAAAUUGCUCACCUGCUCUGAGCUCUAGGUCCCUCCCCAGUGCAAUGAGCAUGGCUGAAAAGGCUCAGAGCCUGGGGGCGAUGGGUGUGGCUGAUUAUAAGGAGACCAGGUCAUUCCAAACAGAAAAAAAAAAAAAUCAGUAUGGACAAGACUUUCAUGACUUUCCUGGACCAAAGAUAGAAAAAUCUGGACAAGAGUUCUUUGCUGAAGCCAGCCUGGACAAUGGCAGAAACGUCGUUUCUAAUGACAUCACCAUGAAGAGCACCAUCUGUGUGAAUACCAGGGUGGGGAUGCCACCAACCUCGGCUGUCCAGAGCCCCUGCACCGGAAGGAGAUACACCCUGGGAGAACGAAAAGGGCACACAGUUCCCAGGAAGUCCUAGAAAGUAGCAUGAGCAGCAGAAAUCUCCAAUUCUGAGGUUACCAAGAUGGCUGAUUAGAAGCAGCCAAUGUGCACCAGUCUCUCAGAGAGGAACGGAAAGGGUGAAUAAAUGCAGCACCUUCAACUGAAACCUCCA
rnacentral:lncRNA from 13 species